CGAAGUGAAACGUCAAUCGACGGUUUUGAUUUGUCAUGCGGUCGGUCGGUCGUGAUUUGUUUGUUUUCGUUACAGCAGAAUUAAACCGGAGUAAUUCUACUGAUUUAGCUCGCCAUGCCUUUUAGCGCGAUAACACACCCCCAGUUGAAGGGCGACUUACAACGGCCGAAAACGAGUCGGAACUUGAAAUUCCCGAAACACCGGUUCAGCAACGGCGGUUUGAUUGCGUACGUCCAGACCGAAAUCGCUUCAAGAGGAUGGAAUGGGGACCGAUCUGAUUAGCGCCGUUCAAAAAGUGAUUAAGGAAGCCGGCUGGAAGAUGGUUGACGUUGAUCCCUCCGAGCGUAAAAACGCUUUUGCAGCGCUUGCAUUCGCCGUUAACAAUGGCUUGGAAGUUAACGCGGAUAAGUUGAACGUUGGUGCGAUAGUUGCUUUUAUUUGGUCCGCCGUCAGCAUGCUAUUUUGGAUGUGGGUUGAUAGCCUAGGCGACCCAAUUGAAGCGUUAGUUCUUAAUCUUUUUUUUCAACUUCAUCAAGCACACUGGAGGUAAGAAUGGCGUGGUUUGUUAUGGCCAUUUCGACGAGUGAUCUUGUAUCCACUGGCCAUUUCGACGACCUAUCUUGAAUCAAUUGGAGUGAAAAAUUCCCGGUUUGUUUUGCUCGUUCAGUCAAACAAGCCAAGCAGUUUAACACCGGAAGCUGACGACGACUUUGCGUCGACCGCCAAUGCCAGCCCUGAUAACAGGUCAACUGAUGGCCCAGUAUACAUCUUUAUCGAAGCCCGCCAAGUGUUAAGUUUAAAAAUUUCUCAGAUUGAUUCAAGGUCCGCCUGGCAUAGGUAAAACCGUAACAUUGGCCACGAUCGUCUACCAACUUGAAAGUUUGAAUGGCGUCUCUAUUCUGGUUGACGGGAAAAAUUCUUCGUACGAAUCUGACGGUUGUAGGUACGUGUCUGCGCAAAAUCUUGUGGAGCUUUUGAUUCUCCUGCAACAACCGAAGGACGAAACCGGUGAAUAGUUCUUCCGAUGAAAAGCAUUAUCGUUUAUAGAAAAAGCUAGCUGAAAGAGAGCCUCUGGAGGUGACUGAUUUCAUUUGUUGCACCUGUGUUGGUUCUAGAGUUCCAAGAUUGCACCACAUUAAUUUCAGCUCCAUGCUAAUAGACGUGAAAAAUCUUCCUUCGUCAAUAACUCAACCUAACGCGGCAAAACUAGGUUUUGUAACAUGGUGGAAUCGAUGGGGAAUGGUUGAAAGAUGGAAUUGCAGCCGGACUCAUUCCUUUAAACCUUGCAUAACUUUUUUAUUACAAUUCCCUCGCCAUGAUAAAAUUUCCGCGGUGAAAACCGGGCGAAUCAUAAUAAAAAGUUCUAGAAGAUUUUAAAGAACGAGUGCGACUGGAAUUUUCUCUUUCAACCAUUCUCCAUCGACGCCACCAUGUUACACAUGCAAGUUGUGUCGCGUUUUUGAGUUAUUGACAAAAUUAGAUUUUUCCACGUUCAUUUUCACUCAAACGGGCUAUAAUCGUAUCGAAGGUUCUAAUGUGGAAAAAACAAAUCGUUCCUUGUAGACUGGUGUUAAACCAGAAUAAAUUAACAUUAUUACACCCUAUGAAGGCCAACGUGCCAAUACAUAUUUUUCGAAGUUGUCUUGUAU